rnacentral:rRNA from 1 species
UACGUAGGGACCGAGCGUUGUCCGGAAUCAUUGGGCGUAAAGAGCGUGUAGGCGGCUAUUUAAGUCCUGCGUGAAAUCCUGCGGCUCAACCGCAGACGGUCGUGGGAAACUGGAUGGCUAGAGUGCGGGAGAGGAGAGUGGAAUUCCUGGUGUAGCGGUGAAAUGCGCAGAUAUCAGGAAGAACACCCGUGGCUAAGGCGGCUCUCUAGUACGGUACUGACGCUGAGACGCGAAAGCGUGGGGAGCGAACAGG